rnacentral:rRNA from 1 species
UAGGAAUCUGCCUGGUAGUGGGGGAUAACGUUCGGAAACGGACGCUAAUACCGCAUACGUCCUACGGGAGAAAGCAGGGGACCUUCGGGCCUUGCGCUAUCAGAUGAGCCUAGGUCGGAUUAGCUAGUUGGUGGGGUAAUGGCCCACCAAGGCGACGAUCCGUAACUGGUCUGAGAGGAUGAUCAGUCACACUGGAACUGAGACACGGUCCAGACUCCUACGGGAGGCAGCAGUGGGGAAUAUUGGACAAUGGGCGAAAGCCUGAUCCAGCCAUGCCGCGUGUGUGAAGAAGGUCUUCGGAUUGUAAAGCACUUUAAGUUGGGAGGAAGGGUUGUAGAUUAAUACUCUGCAAUUUUGACGUUACCGACAGAAUAAG